rnacentral:lncRNA from 1 species
CGCACGCUAACUUAUUUCGCCAAUUCUGUAUCCACGACUGGUUGAUUCCAUCAACCUUAUGUGCUAUACUCAAAAAUUCUAUGUACUUGAUUGCGAAAAUGUCAUAGUCGCCCCUGCAAAUGAACAAUAUUGUGUUAGUUUGGUUCCAAUUUAAUUUAAAAAAAAAAAGAUUACAAACACUUACGAUAUAGACUGCCUAGCCGUCGUCUUAUCCCGCAUGAUGGCUAGUUUGUCCUGCACAGUCAAGCUCGCCCGUCUAGCCAUCAUAGGAACGAUCACAGUCACGGGCUCUAAGUUCUGCUCGAGCUGCCCCUGUGUUAGACAUGAAUGAUCGGGGUCAUAUACAUAUAUCGUCGACUCAGGGAACACGAUCUCCAAUCCAAUGCAAUGAUGAUUGACGAUCACUGGAAUGUACAUAUGCGUACAACCCUCCUACGACUUUCCCCCAACAGUCGGUGACAACCCGAUGACCCGCUCGAGCAUAUAUGCGGGCAGCACGUACUCGUUACCCAUAAGCUAGAGCAACUGAUACUCAAUGGUAACGACACGGAAGAACUCGGUGUUCAGUAUUAUUAGGCCAGGCUUGUAGAAUGAUUGUGAAUAUCUCUCAACUCGAUCGCGCAACA